rnacentral:rRNA from 1 species
UGUUUCCAUGCAAGUCGAACGGCAGCACGGGGGCACCCUGGUGGCGAGUGGCGAACGGGUGAGUAAUACAUCGGAACGUGCCCAGUCGUGGGGGAUAACUACGCGAAAGCGUAGCUAAUACCGCAUACGAACUCUGGUUGAAAGCGGGGGACCGUAAGGCCUCGCGCGAUUGGAGCGGCCGAUGGCAGAUUAGGUAGUUGGUGGGGUAAAGGCCUACCAAGCCUGCGAUCUGUAGCUGGUCUGAGAGGACGACCAGCCACACUGGGACUGAGACACGGCCCAGACUCCUACGGGAGGCAGCAGUGGGGAAUUUUGGACAAUGGGCGCAAGCCUGAUCCAGCCAUUCCGCGUGCAGGAUGAAGGCCCUCGGGUUGUAAACUGCUUUUGGACGGAACGAAACGCGCCGGGUUAAUACCUCGGCGUAAUGACGGUACCGUCAGAAUAAGCACCGGCUAACUACGUGCCAGCAGCCGCGGUAAUACGUAGGGUGCAAGCGUUAAUCGGAAUUACUGGGCGUAAAGCGUGCGCAGGCGGUGAUGUAAGACAGAUGUGAAAUCCCCGGGCUCAACCUGGGAACUGCAUUUGUGACUGCAUCGCUGGAGUGCGGCAAAAGGGGAUGGAAUUCCGCGUGUAGCAGUGAAUGCGUAAAUAUGCGGAGGAACCCGAUGGCGAAGCAUCCCUGGCCUGCNUGACGCUCAUGCCGAAGCGUGGGAGCAACAGAUAAUACCUGGUAGU